rnacentral:rRNA from 1 species
AGCAGCCGCGGUAAUUCCAGCUCCAAUAGCGUAUAUUAAAGUUGUUGCAGUUAAAAAGCUCGUAGUUGAAUUUCGGGAUCAAUAUGUCGGUCGUGCCUUCGGUACGUACUGGUAUCAUUGGUCUCUCCUUUCUGACGAACCAUGAUGUCAUUAAUUUGGUGUUAUGGGGAGUUAGGACUGUUACUUUGAAAAAAUUAGAGUGUUUAAAGCAGGCUUUAGCUUGAAUACAUUAGCAUGGAAUAAUGAAAUAGGACGUUCGAACCUAUUUUGUUGGUUUCUAGGAUCAACGUAAUGAUUAAUAGGGAUAGUUGGGGGCAUUAGUAUUCAAUUGUCAGAGGUGAAAUUCUUGGAUUUAUUGAAGACUAACUACUGCGAAAGCAUUUGCCAAGGAUGUUUUCAUUAAUCAAGAACGAAAGUUAGGGGAUCGAAGACGAUCAGAUACCGUCGUAGUCUUAACCAUAAACUAUGCCGACUAGGGAUCGGAUGAUGUUAAUUUUUAAUGACUCAUUCG